rnacentral:rRNA from 1 species
AUGCCAUGGGCGUGCAACAGAGCAAAGGGGCGUCGGGGCUCAGGGAUGGCAUGGAUGGGCAGAAGCGCUCUGGAUCGAGCUCCUCUCGAUCCAGAGAAUGGUUGCGGGCGCGAGACGGAGGUAGAGGCCCAACGAGGUCGGCGGCUUAGGCCUCCAUGGUGGCGGCGAAGGUCCUUUGAUGGACUUGGACGACGGUGCGGUCGGGAGCAGCAGAGGAAGGGGAGCGGCCCUGGCCACGAGGUGCAGCGGCGGGAGCUUUGA